rnacentral:lncRNA from 1 species
UUACUAAAUUUAAAUAUACAUAUGCCCGUUGGUUUAGCAAUUCUUUCCUCUAUAUAUAUUCAACAGAAAUAUGUGCACUGACACAACAAAAAACUGCAAAAUGUUGAUGGAUGCAUUAGCUUUACAGUCAAACACAGAUGCACCCACAUGCCUAUUAGUAAUAGAAUAAAUAAGUAAAUAGUUAUGGUCAGAAUGCAGAAUAUUACACAGAAAUAAAUUCAAUAAAGCACUGCUGCAGGCAGAAAUGUAGCAUAGGACAAAAUAAGCCAGACACAAGAAUAUUUGCUAUGUGAUUUAUUAUGUAAAGUUUCAAAGAGUCAAAGCUAAUCUAAAGGGCUGAGUGUAAGGAGAGUGAUGAACCCUGGGAGAAGGGAAGGAUAAAGAAAAGAAGGGGGCAAAGGAGUAGCACCUGGCAAUAGAUUCAGGUUAAAAGAUAUGUUUACUUAGUUCUUACUCUUGGUAAACCUAUUUAUGAUCUAUGUAUUUUCUACCCAUAAAAUACUUAAAACAAAGGGAAAGAAAAUGAGUAUGGAAUUAUAUCCUCAUCUUCUUUAAAGCUCUUCAAUGACUCACUGUCCACUGAAGAUACAAUAUAAUCCUCAUCAAAGUAUAUUUUUCUGCUCCCCACCUUCCUCUCCAACAGAACGUAGGAUCAUUUUCUCUCACACAUUCCAGAGCAAGCACAGUCAUCUUUUGUUUCCUCCAAAUGCCAAGAUGCUCCCCUGCUUAAGAGUUUCACUCUUGUUGACCAGGCUGGAGUAAAAUGGCACAAUCUCAGCUCACUGCAACCUCUGCCUCCUGGGUUCAAGCAAUUCUUCUGCCUCAGCCAUCUGCAUAGUAGCUGGGACUACAGAUGCAGGUCACCACAUCAGGCUAAAUUUUUGUUGUCUUUUUAGUAGAAAUGGGGUUUCACCAUGUUGACCAGGCUGAUCUUAAACUCCUGACCUAAGGUGAUCUGCCCACCUUGUCCUCCCAAAGUGCUGGUAUUAUAUGCAUGAACCACCACGCCCAGCCCAACUUUUACUUCUUAAAGCUCUGUAUUUCAAACCUUAUAUUUAAUAUCUUAGAUGACUGGAUUAUCUAAUUUAUACACUUAUUAUGAAGUGCCAAGGGAUGGAGCCUCAGGGAUCUAAAGAUAGAGGUAAAUAUUUGUGACAAGAUCAAGCAAAAGGACAAACUGAGUUUCCCUAGAAGGAGGGGUUGUCUCUCAUCUCCAUAGCAGCAGUGAGAUGUUUGUGCUUCAGUUUCCUCGUGGCCAAUAUCGCCUCACAUUCAGGACAAAAUAGCACUUACUUCUAAGAACAGACAUAAACUGUAUUCCUGAGAUAUCUGAAUAUUUAUUUUACCACUGUGGAAGCCGCUGAAAAUAUCCUUCCAUUUCUGCAAUAAAAUAUAUGACCA